GAUGCUGAAAAUAAUUUCACAUUCUAAAUAGCAUAUAUCAAAAUUUGCUUGUAACAACUAAUUUCAAUUCAUACACUUAUUUGUGGUUUAUAUAUACUACCUCCAAUUCCUUGUAUGUUCGAUAGAGCGAAACAUUUCUCCAGCUUUAGGAGAUCGAGAGAGGAUUAAUUUUUUUUUUGGCUGAGGAUGGCCUAUGGUGUGUGUUAUUUGAAGGAAGCACGUUUUUUCGACCGCGGUGCUAUGAUUGCCGGAGCCUCUCCUCGUUCCAAACAGAAUCCCCUUAGUAAGAGACGUUCCUUUCAGUCGGAAGACUAGCGUUUUUCGAGAACAGAAUCAGACAGACUAACUAUCUAUCGAUUGUAAAUGGUAUGCGGGUACAGGUCGAAGAAGAGACUCGGGUGUGAGCUCAGCCCUAUCCCUGCCGGUCUAGCUGGUACCCCCAAACCUUAUCAAC
rnacentral:lncRNA from 1 species